rnacentral:lncRNA from 1 species
GUCAUUAUUUCCUUAUGUGAUAUGGGAAGAAAGAUCUCAUAUGAGAGUAGUGUUUAUUUGCAUUUUGUUUUUGUACUUGUUCAUCUUAUUAUAUCAAGUUUGUGUUAUUUGAUUACUAGAGUUCGUCUCGAAAUCCCAGUUUGUGACAAGGCAUGACAUAGCCUAUAUCUUUUGAUUUUUUCUUUUGUCGUUGAUUUCACAAUUUUUUCGUUUUUGUUGUUAAUUUGGUUUUAUCGAGAUUGGGUAGUAGCUUAAUAUUGUUAUUUGUGAAGAGGGUGUUUUCAAAUUUAAAAGUUUUUGAAGUGGUUCUUAUCCAUCUGUUUGCACUACUCAAUCUGUUUUUCAAGUGGUUAAGCACACUCUCUUGUUUAGAAUAAAAACUUAUGUCAUGCUAUCUUUUUCAUUUUCUUAAGGCUGUGUUUACUUGAUUUCAAGAAAUGAACAAAGCAUUCUCAAUUUGAUCACUAUGCUUACUAUUCUUGGUAGUCACAUACUUAAACUUGCCUGUUUAGUUUCGUUAAAAUGUGAUUCAAAACCAAUUAUGUACUCAUGCUUCUAGACUAUAUACCAAUAUUUCUAUAUGGUAAUCACUGCAACUGCUGAUUCAUACUCACUUACACCCCUGCUUAAAGUUGCCUCAUUUUCUCACUCAUAGCAAUGCCAAUUUGAAUUUCAGCAACGGCCCUUUGUUUAUUUCCUCCUCAAAUCUGAAUGAAGGGAUUCAUUUGCUUGAUUGUUCGUUUUUGUUAGUGUUAUCUUUCGGUAUAUUUCUUUUUCAGUUGUGUUUUAGUUAUAGGCUUCGGAAAGAGAAAUUGAUGAAUUCGAUGGAAUGAGUGUUACUUUGGUUGCAAGAAUCCUCAUAUAAAAGUAGAGAAGAGAGCCAAAUAUAUAACACCAUCAUCACUUUUGUUUAUCUUUGUAUAAUUAAACCGAAUUUGGAAUGCUUUAGGAAACAAAUUGCAUCAGAUCACAGGAUCUUAUGCAGUUGUUUAGAUAAAUGAUCACCACUAUAUAUCCAUCUAUAUAGUUUCAUUGGCAUGUGUAGAGGAGAGAUGGGUAGGUAAGUGGCAUUGAGAUUAAUUACUGCAAACAAUUACUACUCACUUUUCUUUGUUCCCUCUUCUCCCACUGUAUGAAUAUAUAUGUGACUGAUGAUGUUAGAUGAAUCUGGUAUUGCAAUUUGAUCAAAAUCGCUAUUUUUCACAAUUUGUGUUUCAACCUAUUACAUACUCUCUUUCUCUUGAUAACUCCCUUACAGACUGCAUGUUGGUUCUAUAACUCUCUUCUCAAGAAGGGGAUAUUUUUGGACUCCGGCGGCCUGUAAUCAUGGUGUAAAUA